GACUCUGUGGUGAAAUUCAUGUUGAGUUGCAAGCUCAAAGAUGUGUACUAGGUGUACACCAGAGUCU
rnacentral:tRNA from 1 species